ACUUGUGCACGCAGCGGGGUGUUCAACGCACCCCCGUUUCAGUUUAAAUAAACUGUUUGUUGCAUUUUGUCGGCGCUGAACGUAACCCAUCUUUGUGUUGAAAGGAGUCUAAGUGCAAAGCUCUUGUGCUCGGCGGGGCGGACGGACGGAGAGCGGCAGCCCUAAUGAAAUAGGCCUCGGUGACAGGCUGACGAGGCCCGACCCGAUCAGACGGCUUUGAAAGGAAAUUCUGACAGGGCAGCGGAGGUUGCAGCCAGUAGCAACAAGAAGAAGAGAUGAGCUGUCUGUGGACCCAAGAAGGCAAGGAAGACACAACACAGAUGCAUCAUGUUCAAUGAAAACAUCUGCAGCACACACUCAGUCAUGUUAACUUCCUCAAAUUUGUGUUCAAUAAUUUCCAUACAAUACUGUAUUCAAAAAUGUGUCUUUCCAGUUUGCUCAGUUAGCAGCAAAACAUAUUUUUAUUGAUGCAGACCUUGUUAUAUUUGUUUGUUGAAGAUAACUGUUAUUUAUUCCACCACGCCUUGACUAUUAUGUAUAUAGGCCUUAUUAU